GAAACAAUACUAUCAAGGAGAAAAAUAAACAGGGAUAAAAUGGAAAGUGAAGAGGAGACAAUGGUUGUGCAGGAUCAUAACAAACUGCAUACACGGCAAGAGGAGAGAGGAGGUAGGGAUGUGAAAAUUUGGGACAGGGUUAAUUUGGGAUAUUUUGGGGGCUGAUGUUGCCACAGAGCAGCUUCUAAUUCUCUGGUUUAGAUCUUAUUUUUUGGCAUUUAUUGUUUCUGCUCAGACUUGUAACCAUGGGUUAACGUUAAAGUUUUACUUGAAUUGAAUAAAAGAAUAGUUCCUAGAAGAAAUUCUUUUACA
rnacentral:lncRNA from 1 species